rnacentral:rRNA from 1 species
UACGGAGGGUGCAAGCGUUGUCCGGAAUCACUGGGCGUAAAGGGCGCGUAGGCGGCUCGGUAAGUAGGGGGUGAAAUCCUGCGGCUUAACCGCAGGGCUGCCUUCUAAACUGUCGAGCUUGAGCACGGUAGAGGCAGAUGGAAUUCCCGGUGUAGCGGUGAAAUGCGCAGAUAUCAGGAAGAACACCCGUGGCGAAGGCGGCUCUCUGGGACGGUACUGACGCUGAGACGCGAAAGCGUGGGGAGCGAACAGG